GCCGAGGACGGGGCGUGAGCCGGGGAAAUAGGUAGGGGGCGGGCGUGGUCCGGAGUUAUUGGGCGUAAAGAGCUCGUAGGCCGGUCGGUAAGUCAGAUGUGAAAACGCCAGGCUCAACGUGGAGACGCCAUCGGAUACUGCCGGGACUAGAGUCCGGUAGGGGAGCACGGAAUUCCUGGUGUAGCGGUGAAAUGCGCAGAUAUCAGGAGGAACACCAGCGGCGAAGGCGGUGCUCUGGGCCGGAACUGACGCUGAGGAGCGAAAGCGUGGGUAGCGAACAGGAUUAGAUACCCGGUAGUC
rnacentral:rRNA from 1 species